CGAGCGAACAGACAAGGAGCUUGCUCCUUUGACGUUAGCGGCGGACGGGUGAGUAACACGUGGGUAACCUACCUAUAAGACUGGGAUAACUUCGGGAAACCGGAGCUAAUACCGGAUAAUAUUUCGAACCGCAUGGUUCGAUAGUGAAAGAUGGUUUUGCUAUCACUUAUAGAUGGACCCGCGCCGUAUUAGCUAGUUGGUAAGGUAACGGCUUACCAAGGCGACGAUACGUAGCCGACCUGAGAGGGUGAUCGGCCACACUGGAACUGAGACACGGUCCAGACUCCUACGGGAGGCAGCAGUAGGGAAUCUUCCGCAAUGGGCGAAAGCCUGACGGAGCAACGCCGCGUGAGUGAUGAAGGUCUUCGGAUCGUAAAACUCUGUUAUUAGGGAAGAACAUACGUGUAAGUAACUAUGCACGUCUUGACGGUACCUAAUCAGAAAGCCACGGCUAACUACGUGCCAGCAGCCGCGGUAAUACGUAGGUGGCAAGCGUUAUCCGGAAUUAUUGGGCGUAAAGCGCGCGUAGGCGGUUUUUUAAGUCUGAUGUGAAAGCCCACGGCUCAACCGUGGAGGGUCAUUGGAAACUGGAAAACUUGAGUGCAGAAGAGGAAAGUGGAAUUCCAUGUGUAGCGGUGAAAUGCGCAGAGAUAUGGAGGAACACCAGUGGCGAAAGCGACUUUCUGGUCUGUAACUGACGCUGAUGUGCG
rnacentral:rRNA from 1 species